UAUUGGCCAAUGGGCGGGAGCCUGAACCAGCCAAGUCGCGCGAGGGAAGACGGUCCUACGGAUUGUAAACCUCUUUUGUCGGGGAGCGACGGGGUCCUUGCGAGGUCCCAAUGAGAGUACCCGGAGAAAUAGCAUCGGCUAACUCCGUGCCAGCAGCCGCGGUAAUACGGAGGAUGCGAGCGUUAUCCGGAUUUAUUGGGUUUAAAGGGUGCGUAGGCGGGCUGUUAAGUCAGCGGUAAAAAUUCGGGGCUCAACCCCGUCCGGCCGUUGAAACUGGGGGCCUUGAGUGGGCGAGAAGAAGGCGGAAUGCGUGGUGUAGCGGUGAAAUGCAUAGAUAUCACGCAGAACCCCGAUUGCGAAGGCAGCCUUCCGGCGCCCUACUGACGCUGAGGCACGAAAGUGCGGGGAUCGAACAGG
rnacentral:rRNA from 1 species